AUGCAUGCUUUGACAGGCAUCAUGGGAAUCACCAAGGCAGCAGAUGGUCUAUGCACAAUUCCCUCAAGCAUAAAACAACAUUUCUGUACUUGUCAUUGGGACCUUAAAUUGCACACUGUUCUAUCUGAUUAUUUUCAAAUUCUGGAUUUGUUGCAGGGACUCAAAACAACUUGCAUGAAAGAAUUGAGACAACAAGAAGAAUUAGAGGAGCAGGUAUUUAGACAUAUAGACACUCUAAAAGCUCAAGAGAUCAGUUAUUCAACUCUAAGAAUUGAAACUUGAACAUAGAUUUUGAGCUUCCAAAUCAGGCAAUUAUAAAUUCAAGACAUCAGACAGCUUCCAGGACUGAGCCUACCUAGAUAAAGUGUGAGGAGGUUAGUGCUGCCCAUAAUUAAGUUCAUUGUUUCCUUCAUAUAUCCCAGCUGAAUCACAUGACUCUUACACAUUUAAGAAAAUUAAUACUUUUUUUACUUUAGCAUUAUGUGACCCACACUUUAUUAUGUUUCACGAGACUCUUUCUGUAGUCUCAACUUUGUAUAUUGCCUUAAGCCAUGAAUACAAGUAAACACUGCAGAACGUGUGAGGCAUUUGAUGUAACUGAGUUUUAGAAGAUACCUUAUUUGAUAUUCUGGAUAAUUAUAGAAUAUCGUGUUUCUUUUCAGCAGACUGUCAUCUCAUAUUCACCCUGAAUGAAGAAUGAGUAAAUUUAAGAAUGUUCUUUUCCUAUCAAAUUGAAAUGUUGCUUCUUUUCAUUUUGCAUAUUUUUGCUUUUUGUGUUCUUUUGAUUAGGUGAACUAAUGUUUUUUUUUUAAUCUUAUGGUUUGCUUUUAUUGCCAAUAGUCAACAUUUGGUUUUAUUUAUUAUUUGUAUACUUUUUAUUAUUUUCUAAUGUUUAAUGUCUGUAUUUCUCUUUAGUAAUUACUUUCAUCAAAUUUUCUUAGGUUCAUUUGGU
rnacentral:lncRNA from 1 species